rnacentral:rRNA from 1 species
CCUACGGGCGGCAGCAGUGAGGAAUAGUGGUCAAUGGGCGCGAGCCUGAACCAGCCAAGUCGCGUGAGGGAAGACGGUCCUAUGGAUUGUAAACCUCGUGUGUCGGGGAGCAAAAGACGCCACGCGUGGCGUUCCGAGAGUACCCGAAGAAAAAGCAUCGGCUAACUCCGUGCCAGCAGCCGCGGUAAUACGGAGGAUGCGAGCGUUAUCCGGAUUGAUUGGGUUUAAAGGGUGCGCAGGCGGAAGAUCAAGUCAUCGGUAAAAUUGAGAGGCUCAACCUCUUCGCGCCGUUGAAACUGGUUUUCUUGCGUGCGUGAGACGUAUGCGGAAUGCGUUGUGUAGCGGU